GUAACUUUGAGAGUUGGAAACAACUCUCCUCAUUCAUCUUAUAAAAUAUCAAAUCCAAGAAUCAAUUAGAUCUUGGUGACAACCUAAAGCUUCUUCCUCUCUUUACAUUCUUUGCACAAUAAAGCUCUUCAUGAGCUAUUCAAUUUCUCUUUCAAUAAGCUCAAUGAGCAUCAAUCUACUCUUGUCUUAGAAAUGUCAACACAAUAAAGAUAGUAGCAUUGCAAGGAUGAUUAAACUCAUUAAAGCGCACCCGCAGCUGCUUCCUGGUCUUAAUGUCUUCCUUCCAGAGGCUAACAAAGGAUUAUGCCAAUCUCAAACCAUAGGUUCCACAAGCGUAUCCCCGGAGCUACUUAAGGUUAAUGCGUCUGCAUACCUGGCUUCUGUGGAAGAAGCAUUUGAUGAUGACAAAUUAUUUUUUUCUCCAAACCAACUGAGGGAUAAAACUAAUGCACAACUUAACAGUUAA